AUGCGGCUAAAGUAUUUGUCAGAUGAUCCAAUACAAAAGCAAAAAGUCGCUGAAUUUGCAGAGUGGAUACUACAGAUUGGCGAUGGGAAAACAACAUCAGAUGAAGGAGAGGAUUGGAUAAAAAUACCAAAGGACCUACUGCUAGAGAAAGGAGAAAAUCGUAAAGAACAAAUCGUCAAAAGCAUAUACCCAAACUUGCUGCAAAAAUACCGUGAGCGAGAUUACCUAAGCCUGGACACAGUGUGCAAGGCCACGACAAACACCAACAUCAUGAUGAACAUGCAGCCUACUAAGUCCCUCAACACCUUGACGUCCCCAGGAAUCCCAGACCAUAAGUUAAAACUGAAGGUGGGUUUGCCGGUAAUGCUCCUAUGCAACAUCAACCAAGCAGCAGAGCAAAAAUAUAUAUAUCGUACCUUUUUGAUUUGGCAAUGGAUACCAACUCUAUUGAAUGUACCAUCAUCUCUCCCAUACCACAUACUUCCAGAAGAUCACAAUCCUAAACCCUCUAAUGAAUAG
rnacentral:rRNA from 1 species